rnacentral:rRNA from 1 species
UACCAGCACCCCCGAGUGGUCGGGACGUUUAUUGGGCCUAAAGCAUCCGUAGCCGGUUCUACAAGUCUUCCGUUAAAUCCAGCUGCUUAACAGAUGGGCUGCGGAAGAUACUAUGGAGCUAGGAGGCGGGAGAGGCAAGCGGUACUCGAUGGGUAGGGGUAAAAAUCCGUUGAUCCAUUGAAGACCACCAGUGGCGAAGGCGGCUUGCCAGAACGCGCUCGACGGUGAGGGAUGAAGCUGGGGGAGCAAACCGG